rnacentral:rRNA from 1 species
ACUACGGGAGGCUGCAGUGAGGAAUAUUGGUCAAUGGGCGUAAGCCUGAACCAGCCAAGUCGCGUGAGGGAUGAAGGUUCUAUGGAUCGUAAACCUCUUUUAUAAGGGAAUAAAGUGCGGGACGUGUCCCGUUUUGUAUGUACCUUAUGAAUAAGGAUCGGCUAACUCCUUGACAGCAGCCGCGGUAAUACGGAGGAUCCGAGCGUUAUCCGGAUUGAUUGGGUUUAAAGGGUGCGUAGGCGGCCUUUUAAGUCAGCGGUGAAAUUCUGUGGAUCAACCAUAGAAUUGCCGUUGAAACUGGGAGGCGUGAUUAUGUUUGAGGCAGGCGGAAUGCGUGGUGUAGCGGUGAAAUGCU